UAAGAGCGUGACCUAUGACCUUUCUGUUUCGCGCCAAGGCUGCUCAGCGGUAUCACAGAAAGCUGUCGCGAUAGAUAAAGUUCUUCAAGGAUUUGUUCGGCCGAGCUUCGUUACUAUGUUACGAACCAAGUCACAGUUACUAUCUUACGGUCGUAAACUGGCUUUGAGACUUCACAGUUGGAAAUUAACACCAGGCGUGGUGACAGCAUGUGGCAGGCUGACAGAACCGCAUAUGGACGCCCCUCGCUGCUCUGAGUGCUAAAACGCCACCAGAUGCGAUCAGAAAUACAGCUGGACUCUCCCAUGUCUCCAAGCAGAUGCUGGGAUGGAAGACACAGUUAUUUUCUGACUUCCUGUUCAGUCUUCAGACAGCUACCCACUGUGGUCUACAGUCUUAUGUUCCUGUCCUGAUCCAAUACAGAUGGAGCUUCGGGAAAGUGACUGUCAGUUCCCCAAUUAACAGAAACUGCCAUGGAUGAUGGACAAAAACCCUGGAAUAUUCUGAAGAUGGAGCACAUGCCUCUCCUGGAAAAGGGACUGCCAGCUCCAUACCAAUGGAAACUUUCCAAUGAAGCAGCUGUGGACUAAUGACACAAGGCCCAGGAAAGUUCGGCAAAGGACAGUUCUUCCCAUUCCCAAUGCUUGUUUCAAUGUUUUUUUUUGUGUGUGUGUGUGUGCUUGUGUCAAUGCGAUGUGCAUGUAUGACUGCGUGUGUGUGUGUGCUUGUGUCAAUGCGCGU